rnacentral:rRNA from 1 species
GACGAACGCUGGCGGCGUGCCUAAUACAUGCAAGUUGAGCGCUGAAGGUUGGUACUUGUACCGACUGGAUGAGCAGCGAACGGGUGAGUAACGCGUGGGGAAUCUGCCUUUGAGCGGGGGACAACAUUUGGAAACGAAUGCUAAUACCGCAUAAAAACUUUAAACACAAGUUUUAAGUUUGAAGGAUGCAAUUGCAUCACUCAAAGAUGAUCCCGCGUUGUAUUAGCUAGUUGGUGAGGUAAAGGCUCACCAAGGCGAUGAUACAUAGCCGACCUGAGAGGGUGAUCGGCCACAUUGGGACUGAGACACGGCCCAAACUCCUACGGGAGGCAGCAGUAGGGAAUCUUCGGCAAUGGACGAAAGUCUGACCGAGCAACGCCGCGUGAGUGAAGAAGGUUUUCGGAUCGUAAAACCCUGUUGGUAGAGAAGAACGUUGGUGAGAGUGGAAAGCUCAUCAAGUGACGGUAACUACCCAGAAAGGGACGGCUAACUACGUG